AAUAAUUAGUUUUUUAAUUGAGGACUAGAAUGAAAGGUUGAACGAAAAGUUAACUGUCUCUAAGUUAAGUCUUGAAUUUAACGUUUAAGUGAAAAGGCUUAAAUAUUUUAGGGGGACGAUAAGACCCUAUAAAUCUUUAUAUUCGAUUUUAUAAAAUAAAAUAUUAAUAUAUCUUUUAUUUAAUAAGCUUGAAUAUUUUGUUGGGGCGACAGAAGUAUAAAAGAUAACUGCUUUAAAAUAAUAGUUAACUGAUGUUUAGUUGCGUGAUCCUUUAGUAAAGAUAAUAGUUUAAGUUACUUUAGGGAUAACAGCGUAAUUUUUUUUGAGAGUUCAUAUCGAGAAAAAAGUUUGCGACCUCGAUG
rnacentral:rRNA from 1 species